CAGUAGCCGCGGUAAAACGAAGGGUGCAAGCGUUAAUCGGAAUUACUGGGCGUAAAGCGUGCGUAGGUGGUGGUUUAAGUCCGUUGUGAAAGCCCUGGGCUCAACCUGGGAAUUGCAGUGGAUACUGGGUCACUAGAGUGUGGUAGAGGAUAGUGGAAUUUCCGGUGUAGCAGUGAAAUGCGUAGAGAUCGGGAGGAACAUCAGUGGCGAAGGCGGCCAUCUGGGACAACACUGACGCUGAGGCACGAAAGCGUGGGGAGCAAACAGGAUUAGAGACCCCGGUAGUCCCUGUCUCUUAUAC
rnacentral:rRNA from 1 species